CGCACCACCUCCGCCUCCGCGAGCGUCACCAACCCUCUGCCUCCGCCUCCGCCUCCUCCGCCGCCGGUUUCAGCCCAGAGCAGCUUGAGGCGCGAAAACCCCACGGUCUCGCCGUCGUCGGCGCGCUUCGCGAGUCGCGGGCGGCUGCCUACCGCGGCCACGGUCGCACCUAGGCCCCCGGAAGCAUCCCAAGGCCUCCGCGUCCGCCUCCCCUCCCCCUCCGCCGUCAUCGACCCGUAAGGAGCUUGAGGUGCGAAACCCUAAGACGCACGGCCUCGCCGUCGGCGCGCUUCGCCAGCGCGGGCGGCUGUCUGCCGCGAGCACGGCCGCGACUAGGCCCCCGGAAGCAGCAACUUUACAGAGAUCGAGCCUAGCAGGUCCAAUCACUGCCGAGAUGGCGCACCGACCGACUCAGAGGAAGAGGCAGCGGAAGAAGCUGGCCAAACUGAACCGCAAGCUUAGAGCAGAGCAGCUUAGAGCAGAGCAUCUUAGAGCAGAGCAGAGGAGGUUGGUGGCCACGCCCUCACUGAAGUUAUGUUUCUUGAUGCUGGUAGGGUGGGUGUGGCGGUCAAAGUAUGAGGUGGAAUCUGGCAAGAGGCAUGGACAGCCCACAAGAAGGAGGCAGCACCGCAAGUGGAGGGCGGUGCAGACAGUGUCUGAUCGACCUGUGAUGAGUUCUUUCCUGUUCCCAUUGAUCAUCUUGCUCCUGAUGCUCCUGGUGCUGGCGCGGUUCGUACCACCCGAGUGGCUGCCGAAGUUUAUGGCCUGGCUUCUGCCUUGGAUGUCAUCUAUUCUACCAGUCGCAGUACUGGUGCCAAUGUUUCUACACUUUCUUUCUGGUUGGCCAAUGGAGCAAGCUCAGCUCCUGCUGAUUGCCAUAUGGCCACAAUGGGCGCUUACCCUUUUGUUGAGCGAGGAAAAGUCUUUGGAGGAUUAUGUGCGUGCCAAUGCUGUCACUGUAGAGUACAAAUUGAGUGCUAAUGAAGACAAAGAUGCUGUACUUCUUUCAACUAAAGUUGGGAUGGAUCUCUGGUCUGGCUUCAUUGAAGUGAUCAUUAAAGCAUACCGAUGUAACAAAAGUUGGGGAGGUGGGUUCUCAUCGGAGGAUCUGAGGAUGUCCGGCCAUCGCUGCCGAAUCAGUUUGAACCCUACCUUCCCAGCCUCGUUCCCAAAUCUACUUAGUGAUUUUGCAAAGCUGGCCCAUCUGUUAAUCUAUGUUUUUAAAGCGUCCCUAAGGCGACGCCUAGGCGACGCCUAGGCGUCGAAGCGCUCCCCCUCCGCUUUGGAAAAUCGACCGCUUUGGGCGCCUAGGCGUCCAAAGCGCCCGCCUAGGCGUCGCCUAGGCGCCAAAGCGCCCCCCCUCCCUAAGGCAGUAAGGCGUCGCCUUAAAAACAUAGCUGUUAAUCAGUCAUUUCAAAGUCGAAAGGAAGCACGAAGCGUACAUGAGAUUUCUCUACAGGAGCAUGAUAAAGCCUGGAGCAAGUGAAAUGUCAACUCCGGAUGCCCAGGAGGAUCACAUCAAGUUCAUAAGGAAUCAUCCUGCCCUGCGCUCGUUUCGUCAGAAAAGACUCUUCCUUGAAGACGUCAUCAGAGCUUUCAGAUCAAUGGGACAUGCUGAAAAGAGACGAUUUGCAAAAACCUUGCAAAAGAUAAACGCCGGACCAGAUUGGAGGCUGAUUGCUCAGCGGAAUGCUAGCUUCUCUGGGGUGUUGUUCUUCAAAAGCGUGGGGCAUGUGUUUGUAUAUCAGAAAAGUCAAGAGGACCUGUUCCGUUUUUUUCGCAACUUUUUUGCUCACGGGUCGGACGCUGAACAUGGCGAGGAACUUAUUGGUAACACGGAGGACAUUGACUGUCUUGAUAUGGAAUUGAUGCCAACGUUUGUUAUACAGCUAUUCCAUCAAAUGAUAGUGAAUUCAAACAUGUCUGGGAAGUUCGCAUAUGCAUGGAAGCAUUAUGGGUUGAUUGAGUGAAGAAGUGUGCUGGAGGAGUCAUGGUGGCUGUUGUGACUUGUGGGGCAAGGCGAAGGCUGGUGUUUGUAACACUAGAACAAGAUGUAGAGAUACUGAUUUAGGCUGUUAAUCUUGAGGCCCUUGCUCUGAUGGACGUCCUGAUGGUGUAGGAGUUUUAGGGAAGUUAGUGCGAUUGGCCCUGGGGUGGGCAAGAUAAGAUGCUGUGGUUGUUAGUCUUAGCGCCGGGCCUGAGCGAGUGUUGGUAGGAAAGAUUUGGCUGGCUGUCCGUAAACCUGGGUGAGGGGUUGUAAGGAGUUAACCCUGGCCGGAUGAUGUUGCAUCCGCCGCUGGGAACGCUAGCUUAUGACGUUGUGCGAAUUACGGCAGCAUUUUGAUGUGGAUCUUUUAUCACUG